rnacentral:rRNA from 1 species
CCUACGGGCGGCAGCAGUGGGGAAUAUUGCGCAAUGGGCGAAAGCCUGACGCAGCGACGCCGCGUGAGGGAUGAAGGUCUUCGGAUCGUAAACCUCUGUCAGCAGGGAAGAACGGUCACUGUGCUAAUCAGCAGUGAAUUGACGGUACCUGCAAAGGAAGCACCGGCUAACUCCGUGCCAGCAGCCGCGGUAAUACGGAGGGUGCGAGCGUUAAUCGGAAUUACUGGGCGUAAAGCGCUCGUAGGCGGUAUGUCAAGUCAAGGGUGAAAUCCCCGCGCUCAACGUGGGAACUGCCUUUGAAACUGGCAGACUGGAGUGUGUGAGAGGAUAGUGGAAUUCCAGGUGGAGGAGUGAAAUCCGUAGAUAUCUGGAGGAACAUCAGUGGCGAAGGCGACUAUCUGGCACAUAACUGACGCUGAGGAGCGAAAGCGUGGGUAGCGAACAGGAUUAGAUACCCGGGUAGUC